AGCCCCGCCCACUCCACCGUGACGGAAGCGGAAACAACCAAUGUGCUCCUUCAAAGCUCGUCUAAACACAGACAUCUGUAACCUAAUGUAGCUUUUAUUUAGUUAACUUCACCUUAGAAAUGGUCAUAUUAUGCUGUGCGGUUAGCUGCACAGACAGACAAACCAAACUAGUCAUUUUAUAACGUUUCAUGUGGAAAGAUGGACAGCAGUAAAAAAAAUCUUCGGUGCAACCGCGGAUUUGCAGCGAACUCUUUUUACAAGGACGUUCAGCCUGUAAACGUCGCGUCUGACCUCGCCGUGUCGCUGCCACCUUCUCCAUUUGGGCUUUUGGACGGACUGCUUUGUCUAGCAGCAGAACGAAGGUUGAUUUUACUGAACCGGAGACGAAACGAUUCACCCUGAGGCUAAAACUUUAUUUAUUUAUGACCCGUUUGGCCUGACAGGAAAUGAGCAAAUGGAGGAGGUGUUAAAUAAUGUAACGUCGUCCUGCACACUGCAGAUCCAAACGGAGGAAUCAAACAUGACAAACGGACGGACAGGAAGGUUAAACAAAGAAAAAAAUAUACUGGCGUCUCAGACUGACUUACUGGAUUCAUUGGGAAUAAAAGGAAAACUUUUAGUUUGACUGUGGAAUUGUCCUGGUGACGUUACUGGAUCUUUACCAGACAAACCUCUGAGGAGGAUUUCAGGUUUAUUACUGGAAAUGUCCAGAAAGCAGCUGGUGAUCAGAAUCUGACGGAUUUCACCUUCACCAGCACAAACGUUUCAAAAUCCAAUCUUUUUCUGGUCAGUGAACACACCAUAUGCCAGGGCAACAACACUCUUCAGUGUGAAAGUUGGUACAGAGAGGAGAAGACUUUUAGAAGAUAACAGGAAGGCAGACAGACUGCUGCCUCUCACCCAAAAAGCCCUUUCCUGUUUGCUUUAAGAAGACCUGGCAUGGAUUCUUCCC